AUGCCAAAGAGGAAGGUCAGCUCUGCCAAAGGUGCAGGGAAGGAAGUGCCCAAGAGGAGGUUAGCGCAGUUGUCAGCUAAACCUACUCCUGUGAAAGUGGAAACAAAGCCAAAAAAGGCAGCAGCAAGGGGUAAAUUGUCAGACAAAAAAGUGCAACCGAAAGGCAAAGAGGAGCAAAGGGAAAGCAGGCCGAAGUGGCCAACCAAGAAACUAAAGACGAUUUACCAGCAGAAAACGGAGAAACUAAAGCCAAGGAGAAUCCAGCCGCUGACGAAGCAGGAGAGAAAGAAGCCAAGUCUGAUUAAUGUCAUAUACCAUGUCCAUCAGUGGUCCCUGUCUCCCUUCUUGUACAAUCCAGAGGAAUAUUUUUAUCAACUAUUUUGUAAAUGCAAGUUUUUUAGUAGCUCUAGAAACGUUUUUAAGAAGGAGGGAAUCCCACCUCAUCCCAUUUUUUAAGUGUAAAUGCUUUUUUUUAAGAGGUGAAAUCAUUUGCUGGUUGUUUAUUUUUUGGUACAACCCGAAAAUAGUGUGGGAUGUUGAAUUAAUGGGAGGCUUUGACUGUCUUGGGUGUGAGCUUAACAUUCCAUAGAUGGAGGUUAGUUUUUAUAUCCUGUAAUACAAAGCAUACUAAAUGGCAAUAUGGAGUCCAGUCCUGCAUUUAAUGUUUGAACGUUUUAAAUUACUUCUAUUCCCAUGUUGUUUUAUAGUAGAAUUAUUUCCUAAAGAAAACCACUGCCAUGAUCAUGGCUCACUGUGUACACUCUGUAACAUCUUUGGUUGUGGUGCUCCUAUUUU